rnacentral:rRNA from 1 species
UUAAAUUGAAGAGUUUGAUCAUGGCUCAGAUUGAACGCUGGCGGCAGGCCUAACACAUGCAAGUCGAACGGUAACAGGAAGCAGCUUGCUGCUUCGCUGACGAGUGGCGGACGGGUGAGUAAUGUCUGGGAAGCUGCCUGAUGGAGGGGGAUAACUACUGGAAA